rnacentral:rRNA from 1 species
GAUGAACGCUGGCGGCGUGCCUAAUACAUGCAAGUCGAGCGAACAGACGAGGAGCUUGCUCCUUCGACGUUAGCGGCGGACGGGUGAGUAACACGUAGGUAACCUACCUAUAAGACUGGGAUAACUUCGGGAAACCGGAGCUAAUACCGGAUAAUAUUUCGAACCGCAUGGUUCGAUAGUGAAAGAUGGUUUUGCUAUCACUUAUAGAUGGAUCCGCGCCGUAUUAGCUAGUUGGUAAGGUAACGGCUUACCAAGGCAACGAUACGUAGCCGACCUGAGAGGGUGAUCGGCCACACUGGAACUGAGACACGGUCCAGACUCCUACGGGAGGCAGCAGUAGGGAAUCUUCCGCAAUGGGCGAAAGCCUGACGGAGCAACGCCGCGUGAGUGAUGAAGGUCUUCGGAUCGUAAAACUCUGUUAUUAGGGAAGAACAAACGUGUAAGUAACUGUGCACAUCUUGACGGUACCUAAUCAGAAAGCCACGGCUAACUACGUG